GGUAGAUUAUAUAUAUACACACACACACGUGUAAAUAUAAAUUAGAAUUGUUAUGUGGUCGAUCUAGCCAGGACACAGGUAUACAUGGAGCCUCUAGAUUCAGGUGAUACAGAUCAUGCUAAACAGGUUGGACUGGUGUUUAGAGAGGCAGGAGACAAGAUGUUUCAUGCACAAUGCCAUAAGAUGCGUACCCAAAAGAAAUCUAAGGCUAGAGCAGAUUUCCUCAGGCUCGGUCUGAAGGUAAUGUGUGUUCUUGCCUUCACGAAGAACUAAAGUUGUACUUUCAACAGAUCUGAAGAAACCACUUCUGGUAACCAGGGCUGGAUAUCUGAACCUCGAUGCGCAGAGAUGUGGUUUCAUGACUUCGUGAAUAGAGACCCCGGUACAACGUCCUUAGAUGUGUCUUUCAAUCGUUCAUGAACCGAGACCAAGUAACAAUGUUCUGAAAUAUGUCUUCAAAGAGACAUCGUGAACCGAGACCAAUGAACAAUGUUCUGAAAUAUGUCUUCAAAGACAUCGUGAACCGAGACCAAGGAAUAAUGUUCUGAAAUAUGUCUUCAAAGACACAUCGUGAACAGAGACCAAGGAACAAUGUUCUGAAAUAUGUCUUCAAAUACAUAUUGAACCGAGCCCAAUGAACAAUGUUCUGAAAUAUGUCUUCAAAGACUUCAUGAACCAAGAGCCAGGUGCAAUGUUCUUAAAUAUGUUUUCAAAGACUUCGUGAACCGAGAGCCGGGUACAAUAUUCGGAGAUGUAUCUUUCAAGACUUCAUGAAUC